rnacentral:rRNA from 1 species
UACAGAGGGUGCGAGCGUUAAUCGGAAUUACUGGGCGUAAAGCGUGCGUAGACGGUAGCGUAAGUCAGAUGUGAAAGCCCCGGGCUCAACCUGGGAAUUGCAUUUGAGACUGCUCUGCUCGGGUGCGGAAGAGGGAAGCGGAAUUUCCGGUGUAGCGGUGAAAUGCGUAGAUAUCGGGAGGAACACCAGUGGCGAAGGCGACUACCCGGCCUGUUCUUGACGCUGAGGCGCGAAAGCGAGGGGAGCAAACGGG